CAUGUACUCCCUCCGUCCGGAAAUAUUUCUCAUAAAAAUUGAUAAAAAUGGAUGCAUCUAGAACAAAAAUACAUCUAGAUACAUCCAUAUCCCCGACAAGUAUUUCCGGACGAUGGGAGUAUAUA
rfam:Triticum aestivum genome assembly, contig: Triticum_aestivum_CS42_TGACv1_scaffold_499728_6BL